rnacentral:rRNA from 1 species
AUGGAUAGAUCUUGGAUUCGUGGCACACUGUUCUCUCGAGAGUACGUCAAUGGUGUCAAAGAGUUUAUGAACUUAAUUCAAGCAAAAUUCAGCGAGGGUGAAGAAAUACUAUGCCCAUGUAGAGAAUGCCUUAAUCGCAAAUACUGGCAUCAAGCUGUUGUGAACAAGCACAUAUUGACGCAUGGCAGGGAAAGUACAUAUACUCGUUGGAUAUAUCAUGGAGAAGACUUCAAUGCAAAUGUUAUUGAGCAUCUUGUUGAUGUGCAUGACUCCGAGGAUGGUAACAAUGGUGCUGACCGAUUUGAAGAGAUGUUUGGCGACCUAUGCACAGCAGUACAACAAGAUCAGAAGAAAACUGAAAAUGAAGACGGUAACAAUGGUGCAAAUCCUUCUAACACUGAGUCCUUUUUGAAGAACGUGAGAAAAGAGGCAAAGCGGCACCUUUAUCAUGGUUGUACCAAGUUUUCAAGGUUCUCAUUUGUGGUGAAUCUUCUUCAUUUGAAGUCAUGCCAUAGGAUCACAAAUAGUGCAUUUACUGACAUUUUGAAGCUACUGGCUGAAGCAUUCCCUCAACCCAAUACACUCCCAAAAUCUUAUGACGAAGCAAAGAAUCUUCAAAAGGAAUUAGGCCUUGGGUAUGAGUCUAUACAUGUGUGCAUCAAUAAUUGUGUUUUGUUCAGAAAGCAAUAUGCCAAGCAUGACAACUGCCCAGUCUGUGGCAUGUCAAGGUGGAAAGACCCUGAUAGAAAGAAGAUACCACAGAAAGUUUUGAGGCAUUUUCCAUUGGUGCCUAGGCUGAAGAGGAUGUUUCUUUCCAAAAAAGCAUCAGAAGAAGCACAGUGGCACAAGCUAAAGAGGCAACCCAGUGAGAAGGAAAUGAGCCAUCCAGCUGACGGUGAUGUGUGGCAAGAUUUUGAUAAAAAAAUGUCCAAAAUUUGCAGAAGAUGCCAGAAACAUGAGGCUUGGCAUCGCCACUGA